CGGACGGGUGAGUAACGCGUGGGUAACCUGGCCCAUACAGGGGGAUAACACUUAGAAAUAGGUGCUAAUACCGCAUAACAACAGAAAGCGCAUGCUUUUUGUUUGAAAACCAAGGUGGUAUGGGAUGGACCCGCGUCUGAUUAGCUGGUUGGCGGGGUAAAGGCCCACCAAGGCGACGAUCAGUAGCCGGCCUGAGAGGGUGGACGGCCACAUUGGGACUGAGACACGGCCCAAACUCCUACGGGAGGCAGCAGUGGGGAAUAUUGCACAAUGGGGGAAACCCUGAUGCAGCGACGCCGCGUGAGUGAAGAAGUAAUUCGUUAUGUAAAGCUCUAUCAGCAGGGAAGAAAAUGACGGUACCUGAGUAAGAAGCCCCGGCUAACUAAGUGCCAGCAGCCGCGGUAAUACGUAGGGGGCAAGCGUUAUCCGGAUUUACUGGGUGUAAAGGGAGCGUAUACGGCAGUGCAAGUCUGGAGUGAAAGGCGGGGGCUCAACCCCCGGACUGCUCU
rnacentral:rRNA from 1 species